rnacentral:rRNA from 1 species
AGAUUGAACGCUGGCGGCAGGCCUAACACAUGCAAGUCGAGCGGCAGCACGGGUACUUGUACCUGGUGGCGAGCGGCGGACGGGUGAGUAAUGCCUAGGAAUCUGCCUGGUAGUGGGGGGAUAACGCUCGGAAACGGACGCUAAUACCGCAUACGUCCUACGGGAGAAAGCAGGGGACCUUCGGGCCUUGCGCUAUCAGAUGAGCCUAGGUCGGAUUAGCUAGUUGGUGAGGUAAUGGCUCACCAAGGCGACGAUCCGUAACUGGUCUGAGAGGAUGAUCAGUCACACUGGAACUGAGACACGGUCCAGACUCCUACGGGAGGCAGCAGUGGGGAAUAUUGGACAAUGGGCGAAAGCCUGAUCCAGCCAUGCCGCGUGUGUGAAGAAGGUCUUCGGAUUGUAAAAGCAACUUUAACGUUAGGGUAGGAAGGGACAGUUUAACCUAAUUAACGUAAUCUUGUUUUGUACGUUUAACCGAACAAGAAAUAAAGACAACCGGCUAAACGUACCUUGUGUCC